rnacentral:rRNA from 1 species
AGCAGCCGCGGUAAUUCCAGCUCCAAUAGCGUAUAUUAAAGUUGUUGCAGUUAAAAAGCUCGUAGUUGAAUUUCGGGAUUGACGUGAUGGUCAUGCCUUAAGGGGUAUGAACUGUUACAGUUGAUUUCUCACCUUCUGGAGAAACUUGAUGUCCUUUAUUGGGUGUCUUGCGGAUCCAGGACCUUUACCUUGAAAAAAUUAGAGUGUUUAAAGCAGGCAUUUUUGCUCGAAUACAUUAGCAUGGAAUAAUAGAAUAGGACGGCAUGGUUCUAUUUUGUUGGUUUCUAGGAUCACCGUAAUGAUUAAUAGGGAUAGUUGGGGGCAUUAGUAUUCAAUUGUCAGAGGUGAGAUUCUUGGAUUUAUUGAAGACUAACUACUGCGAAAGCAUUUGCCAAGGAUGUUUUCAUUAAUCAAGAACGAAAGUUAGGGGAUCGAAGACGAUCAGAUACCGUCGUAGUCUUAACCAUAAACUAUGUCCGACUAGGGAUCGGAUGAUGUUAAUUUUUAAUGACU